AUUGAACGCUGGCGGCAUGCUUUACACAUGCAAGUCGAACGGCAGCGCGGGGGCAACCCUGGCGGCGAGUGGCGAACGGGUGAGUAAUGUAUCGGAACGUAUCCUGUAAUGGGGGAUAACCAGUCGAAAGAUUGGGUAAUACCGCAUACGCACGAGAGUGGAAAGUAGGGGAUCGCAAGACCUUACGUUAUAGGAGCGGCCGAUAUCUGAUUAGCUAGUUGGUGGGGUAAAGGCCUACCAAGGCGACGAUCAGUAGCUGGUCUGAGAGGACGACCAGCCACACUGGGACUGAGACACGGCCCAGACUCCUACGGGAGGCAGCAGUGGGGAAUUUUGGACAAUGGGCGAAAGCCUGAUCCAGCCAUGCCGCGUGCAGGAAGAAGGCCUUCGGUUGUAAACUGCUUUAGUCUAGGAAAAGGGGUGCGAGGUUAAUACCCUCGUGCUUUGAUGGUACUGGAAGAAUAAGCACCGGCUAACUAACGUGCCAGCAGCCGCGGUAAAAUCACG
rnacentral:rRNA from 1 species